rnacentral:rRNA from 1 species
GACGAACGCUGGCGGCGUGCCUAAUGCAUGCAAGUCGCACGGUCGUUUUCGGACGACAGUGGCGCACGGCUGAGGAACACGUGGGAACAUGCCCAUUGGUGGGGGAUAACGCGCCGAAAGGUGCGCUAAUCCCGCAUACGGUCCCUUUCGGGGGAGGAAAGCGGUAACGCGCCGAUGGAGUGGCCCGCGGCCCAUCAGGUUGUUGGUGGGGUAAUGGCCUACCAAGCCGAUGACGGGUAGCUGGUCUGAGAGGACAGACAGCCAGACUGGGACUGAGACACGGCCCAG